rnacentral:rRNA from 1 species
AGUGAACGCUGGCGGCAGGCCUAAUACAUGCAAGUCGAACGGCAGCACAGCAGAGCUUGCUCUGUGGGUGGCGAGUGGCGGACGGGUGAGGAAUACAUGGGAAUCUGCCCAGUCGUGGGGAUAACGUAGGGAAACUUACGCUAAUACCGCAUGCGCCCUUCGGGGAAAGCCGGGGACCGUAAGGCCUGGCGCGAUUGGAUGAGCCCAUGUCGGAUUAGCUAGUUGGCGGGGUAAAGGCCCACCAAGGCGACGAUCCGUAGCUGGUCUGAGAGGAUGAUCAGCCACACUGGAACUGAGACACGGUCCAGACUCCUACGGGAGGCAGCAGUAGGGAAUAUUGGACAAUGGGCGCAAGCCUGAUCCAGCCAUGCCGCGUGAGUGAAGAAGGCCCUCGGGUUGUAAAGCUCUUUGUCCGGAAAGAAAAGCGCCGGGUUAAUACCCUGGUGUCCUGACGGUACCGGAGAUAAGCACGGCUAACUUCGUGCC